AGAGAAUACCAAGGCGCUUGAGAGAACUCGGGUGAAGGAACUAGGCAAAAUGGUGCCGUAACUUCGGGAGAAGGCACGCUGAUAUGUAGGUGAAGCCCCUGCGGGCGGAGCUGAAAUCAGUCGAAGAUACCAGCUGGCUGCAACUGUUUAUUAAAAACACAGCACUGUGCAAACACGAAAGUGGACGUAUACGGUGUGAC
rnacentral:rRNA from 2 species